AGGUUAACCGAAUAGGGGAGCCGAAGGGAAACCGAGUCUUAACCGGGCGUUAAGUUGCAGGGUAUAGACCCGAAACCCGGUGAUCUAGCCAUGGGCAGGUUGAAGGUUGGGUAACACUAACUGGAGGACCGAACCGACUAAUGUUGAAAAAUUAGCGGAUGACUUGUGGCUGGGGGUGAAAGGCCAAUCAAACCGGGAGAUAGCUGGUUCUCCCCGAAAGCUAUUUAGGUAGCGCCUCGUGAAUUCAUCUCCGGGGGUAGAGCACUGUUUCGGCAAGGGGGUCAUCCCGACUUACCAACCCGAUGCAAACUGCGAAUACCGGAGAAUGUUAUCACGGGAGACACACGGCGGGUGCUAACGUCCGUCGUGAAGAGGGAAACAACCCAGACCGCCAGCUAAGGUCCCAAAGUCAUGGUUAAGUGGGAAACGAUGUGGGAAGGCCCAGACAGCCAGGAUGUUGGCUUAGAAGCAGCCAUCAUUUAAAGAAAGCGUAAUAGCUCACUGGUCGAGUCGGCCUGCGCGGAAGAUGUAACGGGGCUAAACCAUGCACCGAAGCUGCGGCAGCGACACUGUGUGUUGUUGGGUAGGGGAGCGUUCUGUAAGCCUGUGAAGGUGUACUGUGAGGUAUGCUGGAGGUAUCAGAAGUGCGAAUGCUGACAUAAGUAACGAUAAAGCGGGUGAAAAGCCCGCUCGCCGGAAGACCAAGGGUUCCUGUCCAACGUUAAUCGGGGCAGGGUGAGUCGACCCCUAAGGCGAGGCCGAAAGGCGUAGUCGAUGGGAAACAGGUUAAUAUUCCUGUACUUGGUGUUACUGCGAAGGGGGGACGGAGAAGGCUAUGUUGGCCGGGCGACGGUUGUCCCGGUUUAAGCGUGUAGGCUGGUUUUCCAGGCAAAUCCGGAAAAUCAAGGCUGAGGCGUGAUGACGAGGCACUACGGUGCUGAAGCAACAAAUGCCCUGCUUCCAGGAAAAGCCUCUAAGCAUCAGGUAACAUCAAAUCGUACCCCAAACCGACACAGGUGGUCAGGUAGAGAAUACCAAGGCGCUUGAGAGAACUCGGGUGAAGGAACUAGGCAAAAUGGUGCCGUAACUUCGGGAGAAGGCACGCUGAUAUGUAGGUGAAGUCCCUCGCGGAUGGAGCUGAAAUCAGUCGAAGAUACCAGCUGGCUGCAACUGUUUAUUAAAAACACAGCACUGUGCAAACACGAAAGUGGACGUAUACGGUGUGACGCCUGCCCGGUGCCGGAAGGUUAAUUGAUGGGGUCAGCGCAAGCGAAGCUCUUGAUCGAAGCCCCGGUAAACGGCGGCCGUAACUAUAACGGUCCUAAGGUAGCGAAAUUCCUUGUCGGGUAAGUUCCGACCUGCACGAAUGGCGUAAUGAUGGCCAGGCUGUCUCCACCCGAGACUCAGUGAAAUUGAACUCGCUGUGAAGAUGCAGUGUACCCGCGGCAAGACGGAAAGACCCCGUGAACCUUUACUAUAGCUUGACACUGAACAUUGAGCCUUGAUGUGUAGGAUAGGUGGGAGGCUUUGAAGUGUGGACGCCAGUCUGCAUGGAGCCGACCUUGAAAUACCACCCUUUAAUGUUUGAUGUUCUAACGUGGACCCGUGAUCCGGGUUGCGGACAGUGUCUGGUGGGUAGUUUGACUGGGGCGGUCUCCUCCUAAAGAGUAACGGAGGAGCACGAAGGUUGGCUAAUCCUGGUCGGACAUCAGGAGGUUAGUGCAAUGGCAUAAGCCAGCUUGACUGCGAGCGUGACGGCGCGAGCAGGUGCGAAAGCAGGUCAUAGUGAUCCGGUGGUUCUGAAUGGAAGGGCCAUCGCUCAACGGAUAAAAGGUACUCCGGGGAUAACAGGCUGAUACCGCCCAAGAGUUCAUAUCGACGGCGGUGUUUGGCACCUCGAUGUCGGCUCAUCACAUCCUGGGGCUGAAGUAGGUCCCAAGGGUAUGGCUGUUCGCCAUUUAAAGUGGUACGCGAGCUGGGUUUAGAACGUCGUGAGACAGUUCGGUCCCUAUCUGCCGUGGGCGCUGGAGAACUGAGGGGGGCUGCUCCUAGUACGAGAGGACCGGAGUGGACGCAUCACUGGUGUUCGGGUUGUCAUGCCAAUGGCACUGCCCGGUAGCUAAAUGCGGAAGAGAUAAGUGCUGAAAGCAUCUAAGCACGAAACUUGCCCCGAGAUGAGUUCU
rnacentral:rRNA from 1 species